ACUCCACGGUCUUGUGAUGCCGCUCGGAAUGCUUUCCAGAGGACUCUGGGCUCCCUGUGUCCAGCUGUGGCCAGGGCCGGGGCUGCCUGUGGACCACGCUCUGCUUGAUGGCCACUCCAGCUCCAGACCCCAGCCCUGCCCCCGUCCAGCCUCACAAGGCAGUGCAGCAGGGAGCCCCUCUUGCCUCCCAGUACCCAGGCUCAGUUCAUGGCAGGACAGUGAUGGCUGCCUCAACCCCAACGCAUUCUACAGAUCAGAGAACGCGCAUUGGAAGGUUUAAGAGACUUAUCCAGGGACACUAAAUGGUCCUUUAGUGUCCUGCGUCUUCACUUGCCAAGGUUCAGAGAGGUCGCUUGGGUCCAUCAGAGUCUCUGCCGUCACUACCUGCAAGAGGGGACCGGAAGCCAGUGGGCAGGGGCUGGGUGCUCCCCUACAGCACCUCUCCUCUUUGACCUCACCUGUGCUUUGAGGCCUCCUGAUUCCUCCCUGCUGGAGCCCAGAGUUCCAGAGGCACCUGAGCAGGGCAGGCUUCCAGGCAGGCCAGGGCGCCCCAGCAGAGGCACCCGACGAGAUGGGGAGGGCUGGGGAGGGCAGCCUGGGGCAGGAGGGCUUGGGGGACAGGCUCACCUCCACACUGCCAGUCUGGGAUCGUAGCAUGCGGCCCACCCACGAGGAGCGGGCCAGCUGCAGGAGGCAGGACUUCUGCAAGUUCUGCAGCUCGGCCUCCAUCUCCUGGAGCGUGCGGGUGGUCUGCAGCAGCCGCUCCUCCAGGUGCUCCUUCUCCUGCUCCGAGAGGGCCUGUGGUUGGUGGUGGGGGGGUGUCUUCUGCAGAAGGCCCCCAGGCCAGCCCCAGCCUGGCUCCCCAACACCAGGACCCUGCCCACUCCCUGUGCCCCUGCCUCACCCACUGGGCUCGCUCCUUCUGUUCCUUCAACUCCUGGAUCAGCUUCUGGACCUGGUUCUGCAGGAGUUUCUCCUGACUGUGGGAGCUCCUGGAGGAGGGGUGACCUCAGCAGCCCCCACCCUGCUCAGGCAGGGGUUCCUAAUGUCAGGUCAGUGGCGAAGGAGGGGAGAAGGAGGGGCUCCACUGCCACCUUGGCCCCAAGGGCACACAGUACAGCCCCGCUGGGGCUGGCCAGCCUCCGGCUGGUCUGGACAAGGGUCUAGCACCCAUCCACAUGCGCAGGGUUAGGGUGGAGGCUAUAGCGUGUUAACUUAGGAUCAGGGUGGAGGGUCAGCGCGGGCAAGGAUGAGGGUAAGGAUCUGCCUCAGCGGUUGGGGUUGGGGUCAGACAGAAACCAGGAGUCCGGGCGAGGACAGGGCGGGGUUGGGUUGGGCUGGGGACUGUGCUGCAGACCUCUUGGGCGGAAGCCCCGCCACCUCUUCCAGGAUGUGGCAGAGCCGGGCGUCCUCGCCAUUCUGGAUGGCCCACCGCAAGGCCUGGAUCUCCAGUUCUCGCUGUCUCCACAGCAGCCGCAGUGUGCGAGGGUCCAGGGACUCAAGAGCCAACCUGCAGCGGCAGCAGACCCUGCUGCUUACUCAGGCCGGCCCCUGGCCACCUGGCCCAGGAGGCUCACCAGUCCUCCCUCUCCUCCUUACUGCGGGUCGGCAGAGCAGACCACCGGUGCGGGGUGGGGCGUGGUGUCUGGCAGGCACGUGGGAGUCUCGGGGGCUGCAGGUGCGCCUGCUGGAGGUCCCAGGUGACCACUGACCGACUCUUGCUCUGUGGGGGACAGGAGAGCCUCUUCCUCGGUUUCUUCAACCUCCUGGCCAGACUUGGGGGCCAUUCUCAAUGUUCUUCGGGAGCUGGGAGGGGUGGGGGGCCCGUCUGCCGUGUGCGCCUCGUGUGGCCACACAGGUUGGAGCAGCCCAGGCGUCACCACUUACUCACAGAGCGUUGCUCUCUGAAGGGACCCACAUGUGGGUGUCCACACCCGUGUGUUUCUGACCAGGCUGGCGCAGCAGGUCACCACCCGACAUGUCCCUGGCGUGUACCCCUGCCACCCAGGUGCUGGCCCUUUGCCUGUGAUGUGGUGUCCCUCUUUCUCUCUCUUGUCCCCCCAGCUCAGGGCCCUACCCCCAGCACUCACCUGAGGCCCGACCUCCAAGCAGGCCUGGGAGGGAAGGGCUGUAUACCGUUGCCAUGGAUACCAGCACCCAGAAGGGGUGGGGCUGUUUGUUACCAGGAGCCUCCAGGGAGACCCCAGACCAGGCCCCUAGGUGAGUUCUGGGCCAGCCCAGCCUGGAGGAGGUGUGAGAGGCUGAGCCACUGCUCAGCUUAGCGGGGGGACCACUUAGUGACCAACACCCUGAGGGAGGCCCCAGCAUCCCCUACCUAGCCUGGCAGCAGCAGCGGGAUAAAUAGGGGGGCACUGCUGCCUGUGAGCCAGCCCAGCAUAGCCAUGGGUGUGUGGGGGAAGCAGACAGGGACAGGGUCUUGCUCCGCUGUCCAGGCUGGAAUGCUUCGGUGUGAUGACAGCGCACGUUAACCUCGAAUUCCUGGGCUCAGGUGAUCCUCCCACUUCCGCCUCCUGACUUGCUGAAACUACAGGCACCCGCCUCCACCGCCAGGCCCAGCCCACAGCUCCUUUGACCUCAGUGACAGGCACUCACCUACCUGACCCCCAAACUGAAGCCUCACUUUUCCCAGCCGUGUCCACACCCUCUGGGCUACCCCAUUACCAUGACAAGUAUUCCCUCUGCUCCAGGAGAAAAGCCAGGUCCCAGACCUGACCCAUUAAAACCCAAUCAUUCCAG
rnacentral:lncRNA from 1 species